GGAGAGUUGGCUGAGCGGCUUAAAGCACUUCCCUGCUAAGGAAGAGUACGGGUAACUGUACCGAGAGUUCGAAUCUCUCACUCUCCGCCA
rnacentral:tRNA from 1 species